UACGUAGGGUGCGAGCGUUUGUCCGGAAUUAUUGGGCGUAAAGAGCUCGUAGGCGGUCUGUCGCGUCGGUCGUGAAAACUUGGGGCUUAACCCUGAGCUUGCGGUCGAUACGGGCAUGACUGGAGUUCGGCAGGGGGAGACUGGAAUUCCUGGUGUAGCGGUGAAAUGCGCAGAUAUCAGGAGGAACACCGGUGGCGAAAGGCGGGGUCUCUGGGGCCGAUACUGACGCUGAGGAGCGAAAGCGUGGGGGAGCGAACAGG
rnacentral:rRNA from 1 species